AUUCUGCAAUAUAACAUUCAGGGUAGAGAAUUAAGCAUCAUUACCUACUUGGUUUUCAAGCUAUUCCCCCUCUUCCAGCCCUGAGAGACAUAGAUAGGUCUGUAUUAGGUGAUCCCUCAGGUACGUGUAUGACACACAAAGCUUCUGUCUGGUCAUGUAAGCUCCCCUUAAUUUGUAAGGGAGCAGGUGGCAGAGUUACAGCUCCUUUCUCUUGCAGUGUGGCAAAGCCAAUGUGCAGCACUGUGGGAGUAACAGACGGCAACUGUGACUCAGCCAGCACUGAAUGACAGUGGAGAAGCCCCUGCUGCACUCAGGGGUAUAGGUGUAAGCUAAAUAUCAUCUGCACAUUAAAUGCAUAGGGUAUGAUUCCAAAUGCAGUUCAUAUAGCCUCUCCUUUUGAUGAUAAAGGGAUGCAAGUGUUGUACUGCAGGCCUAUAGCUACAGAAGUGACCUUUUACUUUUUUUUUUCUUUUCCCCUCUUGUUUUUAAAAGACCUCAGUGCCUUCCUUCUCCAGUAACUCUUGAUGCUACAGGCUCUCACUGACAGUUUGCUCUUUGUUCACAGUAGCCAGGGGAACAGUGAGGUGGGAGCUGCCUUCCUGUGCUCCUCUUGGAAUAGAACAAAGUUCCCAACACUAUUUAGUCAAAUUGGAAGCAGAGAAGGAAGUUUUGGUGCUAAAGUGAGGAAAAUGGUAGCAUGGAUAAGUGAAAGAAGUGGGGAUAAAAGAAAUAAAGAGGAAAUUCAACAGCUUGAUUGUCUUCAGCUGCCACAUGUUUUGGUUGGACACAGCUCCCUGGUUUUGCUCAGAAGUUCCCCAUCUCCUUAGCAUUGGCUGCAGCUGUGCUCCAGAGCUUGGAGCUGUGGUGUGAUAGAGGAAUUUUAUCUCCUUCCGCAUUUGCCAGGCACAACAUAAGGUAAAAAUGUAGGAUAUGGGGAAAACUAACAAGGCAGGAAGGGAAAAGCAAAAUGUUAAAGUGUGUCAUGCAGAAGACUUCCUUUCAAAGCUGUUGGACUGAAGCCGUGCAUGGAUCCAUCUUCCCCAGCUAAUUUUUAAUUCUGCAGCCCCUGCAUGUGAAAGCCAAAGGUCUUCUGCAGGAGGGGUUUAUCUGCACUAUAUCUGAGUGUUUGCCUUUGCACAAUCCUAGUAACAUGGCUGUGAACUGGAUUUUUAUUGCUAGUACUGCAGUGAGAUGGCUUCUAUCUUAAUUGCUGCAAAGUAGCUCGUAAGUAGCCUUUCAGUCCUCCUCCUAUUUGCAGCUUACAUGCUUCCUUAGCCUGACCUGUCACAUAAAAACAAAUGCUAGUGGGGCUCUGGUUUGGAGGAGAGGUGAGCUGGGACAGGUGGGGCUCAGAAAUACUACAGUUGUGGUCUGUUCAGGACCCUUCUGCACUCCCUAAGUUGGGGGAAUCAAAGAUGCAGCUCAGGCAUUCCUGUCUUACUUUCUCUUUGUAACUUCUGGAUUACUUGGGGAUCUCACUGUGCAGCAAACACAGGAAAACUAUCACCCUAUCCAAGAGAAAAGAAAAAGCACUAAAAUUGCUUCACUGUUCAAUGCAGAUGCAGACACAGCUUUCAAGUCUCUUGCAGGCCAGAGGAGAUCCACCUUCUUAAGAUGCCAAAGGGUUUGUCCCACAUGAGUUGGGUUUCAAGUAGCUGCUCGAAGCCUCCCACGGCUCAAUGUGUGGAGUCCUUGUAUCUGUGGAUUCUGUGCUGCUGAGUGGGCAGUGUGUGUUGCUUCUACCCAAGAUGAGAAGUGCACUGAAACUGAAGCUCAGAAGAGACCAGAGAAGAAAACUGCAUGCAACCACAUUGUUGGUUACUCAGAGUAUGCCUGGGGGGUGGGGGGAGUGGGAAUUAAGUGUGUUGGACAUUAGAGCCCAAGGACUGAACAGAUGAUGAAACUGAUGGUAAAAAGUAAAUGGCCUGGCCACCUGUAGGGCAUCAACCAAUCCACCAUGCUCGGGUGGCAGCUGGCUGGCCUGGGGAAACUGCUCUUUGUACAGCAUGCGUCAUGGAGCCUGCUGCAGCAGAUGGCUCUGGCUGGCCCUCUUGUUGACUGAGAGACUUACAUACUGAAUAAACUGAAGAUGCUGAAGCCGCCUCUCUGUCUCCCAAGGGGACCUUGCUUCUAUGAACUAGGCAGGAGAUGGCAAAUGUACUAUCUGGAAAAGGCUUCACAUAAAUGUAGCUUACUAGAACACGUUCGGGGAAGGCAGACUGAAUGCAUAAGACUACAGGGGUAGAGGCAUUUAGUGCGGCAUGGUGGCCAGUGAUGACUAGGAUGUCCCUUUUCGCAUUGUUCCUAACACCACAGAGCAGCACCUGCAUCCUCACCAUCUGGUCUAUUCUUUUGUUGGCUUGUGCCACACCCGAGAAGAGGGUGUAGCCCCUGUAUUUCUUUUAAUAUUAUGUCCGUCUGGUUUGGC